UUUUUUUUUUUUUUUUUUUUUUUUUUUCACUUAUAAAUUUUUUAAAUAACGUUUGUUUCCCAAUUAGAGAAUACAAUAAUUACAUACGAAAUUGUAUGUGUACAUAUGUAUUUAUACUUUUUUUUUAUAUCGAUAUAUGCAUAUGUAGAUAAAUAUGCACACAUAUGUAUGUUCUGUUAAUUAUAAAUUAAUGUAAAACUUGACUUUUUUUUUUUGUUGUUAACAAUUGUUAUAGUAAAUUUUUUUUUUUUUUUUUUUUUUUUUUUCAAAAUGGUGUUUGUUUUUUGAUUUGAAUUUGUGUUCAUAUAUAUGUAUACCUAUAUACAUGUAUAUUUUAUUUUUAUUUUAUAUUAGAAAUAUCUAAAACCUUUUAUAAAACAUUUGUAGUUUUAUUAAUUCGAGAUGCUUAUAUAAAAAAAAAUUAGUAAUUCGAAAAAAAAAAAUGUGCUUUAAACGAUGUUGUAGCUUUUCUUUUUUUUUCGCGUUUGUGACUUAUUAAACAAUUAAAUGCAAUAAAAUCGUACAAGUUAAAAAAUAAAUCUUUUUUUUAUAUAUAUAUAUAUAUACCUCUUUUAUAUUGUUUUAAAGAAAAUAAAAACCGUUUUUCUUUUGCUUUUUUUUGUGUUUAAUAAUAGUUAAACCCGAACAUGAAUAAAAAUAGAAGAUUAAAUGUUUACUUGUUUUCAAACAGUUCAAGAUAUUUUAACACAUCAUUGAUUAAAUCUAAAAUUGAUACGUUGGAAAAUUAUGCAAAAAAAAAUCAGUUACAUAAAUUAAGAAGAGAUAAAUUGUUUGAAGUUUUUAAAUUAUCUAAAACGGAAGAAGAUUAUAAAUUGUCGUUGCAUUUAUUAAAUGUAUAUUACAAUUUUGGAAGAAAUUUAAAUACCCAGCAAGAUGUUGAUUUAUUUUUUACAUCCAUUUUGAGGACAAAUCAACUAAAUGAAGCAAAAGAUUUUUUGAAGUAUUUUAACGGGUGGUUAUUAUGUCCUCCUUCAAACAAAUUGAUUUUACUAUGUAUGGAGGAAUUUUUUCGAAAAAAAAAUUUUAUGAAGUCAGGGAAAUUUUUUCUUUUAUUAGACAGAAUAAGUUAUAAUUUAUUAAAAACAAAAAUUUAUCCAAAUGUGCUUUUUAAAUAUAUAUUUAUGUGA
rnacentral:lncRNA from 1 species